UACGAAGGGUGCAAACGUUGCUCGGAAUUACUGGGCGUAAAGCGUGCGCAGGCGGUUCGUCGUGUCCGAUGUGAAAGCCCCGGGCUCAACCUGGGAAUGGCAUUGGAAACUGGCGGGCUUGAGUGUGGCAGAGGGGGGUGGAAUUCCGCGUGUAGCAGUGAAAUGCGUAGAGAUGCGGAGGAACACCGAUGGCGAAGGCAGCCCCCUGGGCUAACACUGACGCUCAGGCACGAAAGCGUGGGGAGCAAACAGG
rnacentral:rRNA from 1 species